rnacentral:rRNA from 1 species
GAUGAACGCUGGCGGCGUGCCUAAUACAUGCAAGUCGAGCGAACAGACGAGGAGCUUGCUCCUCUGACGUUAGCGGCGGACGGGUGAGUAACACGUGGAUAACCUACCUAUAAGACUGGGAUAACUUCGGGAAACCGGAGCUAAUACCGGAUAACAUGUUGAACCGCAUGGUUCAACAGUGAAAGACGGUCUUGCUGUCACUUAUAGAUGGAUCCGCGCCGCAUUAGCUAGUUGGUAAGGUAAUGGCUUACCAAGGCAACGAUGCGUAGCCGACCUGAGAGGGUGAUCGGCCACACUGGAACUGAGACACGGUCCAGACUCCUACGGGAGGCAGCAGUAGGGAAUCUUCCGCAAUGGGCGAAAGCCUGACGGAGCAACGCCGCGUGAGUGAAGAAGGUCUUCGGAUCGUAAAACUCUGUUAUUAGGGAAGAACAAAUGUGUAAGUAACUAUGCACGUCUUGACGGUACCUAAUCAGAAAGCCACGGCUAACUACGUG